GCUUGGCUGGCUCAGUCAGUAGGGCGUGUGACUCUUGAUCUUGGGGUUGUGAGUUCAAGCCCCAUGUUGGGCA
rnacentral:tRNA from 1 species